AUUGAACGCUGGCGGCAUGCUUUACACAUGCAAGUCGAACGGCAGCGCGGGCUUCGGCCUUGCGGCGAGUGGCGGACGGGUGAGUAAUGCAUCGGAACGUGCCCAGUAGUGGGGGAUAGCCCGGCGAAAGCCGGAUUAAUACCGCAUACGACCUGAGGGUGAAAGCGGGGGACCGAAAGGCCUCGCGCUAUUGGAGCGGCCGAUGUCGGAUUAGCUAGUUGGUGGGGUAAAGGCUUACCAAGGCGACGAUCCGUAGCUGGUCUGAGAGGACGACCAGUCACACUGGAACUGAGACACGGCCCAGACUCCUACGGGAGGCAGCAGUGGGGAAUUUUGGACAAUGGGGGCAACCCUGAUCCAGCCAUGCCGCGUGCGUGAAGAAGGCCUUCGGGUUGUAAACCGCUUUUGUUCGGGAAGAAAUCCUCUGGGCUAAUACCCCGGGGGGAUGACGGUACCGGAAGAAUAAGCACCGGCUAACUACGUG
rnacentral:rRNA from 1 species